GGCCACGACGCAAAGUGGAUCAUCCACGAACACGACGCCACUGUCGGCGGCCUGCAGCACCUGCCUGCGCCUCGCGCCACCGUGUCCGUCGCCGUCCAGUGCCUCACGCAUGACCCAACCCCGACGCGAGCCGACGCUCGACAGCAUCCGCGCGCCUCUUCGAGUCGUGCGUUGAAUCGACCUCGUCUCCAAGUCGUCGAUCCGAGUCAAGCUACUAUUGCGGCCUCGCUUGGCCACAGACUCCGCCUUGUCAUAGACCGUGUUGUUGCGCCUUGCGCUCGGAUUGUGCCGCUCCGCCGCGUCACGCUGCGCCUCGCCAUGGCCACCUCGUCGUCCGCACACCACAUCCAUCCAUCACGGAGGUGAAAAACAUCCAUCACGCACCAUCCAUCCAUCACACAGACACUGCCCACGCCCAUAACUCACAAAAACAAUCCAUCCAUCGUCCAAGCAUACAUCCAUCUACCACCGGAGCACACAUCUAUCUAUCUCUCGUGAACAGGUGAAGAGAUCGUAUCAGGAGGAUCGCCCGCGCGGCCAUCAUCUCGUGUGGCAGAGAUCUUUUACAUGCUUGGAGGAAGAUGGCGAAUGCAUGGUCGUCGAUUGUACGUGAAGGUCAAUGGUCAAUGCAUGGUCAAAAUAUCACUCGUGCAAUUCCAAUGACAGUAAAGUUGGUGCAAUUCCAAAGAUAAUAAAGUUGUUGCAUCCGUCAUCAGACGGAAUUAUUAUCAGGUGGUACUUUUUCUAAUAAACGUAUUCACAUGAGUACGUUCUAUCAAAAACUUUUGUACUUUUCACUCGUACGAAUUUGUACGCAUGAUAAAUGGAAGGUUACACAAGCGUG
rnacentral:lncRNA from 1 species